rnacentral:rRNA from 1 species
GACGAACGCUGGCGGCAUGCCUAAUACAUGCAAGUCGAGCGAAGUUUUUCUGGUGCUUGCACUAGAAGAACUUAGCGGCGAACGGGUGAGUAACACGUAAAGAACCUGCCUCAUAGACUGGGACAACUAUUGGAAACGAUAGCUAAUACCGGAUAACAGUAUUUCUCGCAUGAGAGAUAUUUAAAAGUUGGUUAUGCUAACACUAUGAGAUGGCUUUGCGGUGCAUUAGCUAGUUGGUGGGGUAAAGGCCCACCAAGGCGACGAUGCAUAGCCGACCUGAGAGGGUGAUCGGCCACACUGGGACUGAGACACGGCCCAGACUCCUACGGGAGGCAGCAGUAGGGAAUCUUCCGCAAUGGGCGAAAGCCUGACGGAGCAACGCCGCGUGAGUGAAGAAGGAUUUCGGUUCGUAAAGCUCUGUUGUUAGGGAAGAAUGGAUAUGUAGUAACUAUACAUGUAAGAGACGGUACCUAACCAGAAAGCCACGGCUAACUACGUG